rnacentral:rRNA from 1 species
GUGGGGAAUAUUGCACAAUGGGGGAAACCCUGAUGCAGCGACGCCGCGUGAGUGAAGAAGUAUUUCGGUACGUAAAGCUCUAUCAGCAAGGAAGAAAAUGACGGUACUUGACUAAGAAGCCCCGGCUAACUACGUGCCAGCAGCCGCGGUAAUACGUAGGGGGCAAGCGUUAUCCGGAUUUACUGGGUGUAAAGGGAGCGUAGACGGUAUGGUAAGUCAGAUGUGAAAGCCCGGGGCUCAACCCCGGGACUGCAUUUGAAACUAUCAGACUAGAGUGCAGGAGAGGUAAGUGGAAUUCCUAGUGUAGCGGUGAAAUGCGUAGAUAUUAGGAGGAACAUCAGUGGCGAAGGCGACUUUCUGGACGGUGUCUGACACUGAGGCGCGAAAGCUAGGGGAGCGAACGGGAUUAGAUACCCUGGUAGUCC